rnacentral:rRNA from 1 species
GAUGAACGCUGGCGGCGUGCCUAAUACAUGCGAGUCGAGCGAACAGACGAGGAGCUUGCUCCUCUGACGUUAGCGGCGGACGGGUGAGUAACACGUGGAUAACCUACCUAUAAGACUGGGAUAACUUCGGGAAACCGGAGCUAAUACCGGAUAAUAUAUUGAACCGCAUGGUUCAAUAGUGAAAGACGGUUUUGCUGUCACUUAUAGAUGGAUCCGCGCCGCAUUAGCCAGUUGGUAAGGUAACGGCUUACCAAGGCAACGAUGCGUAGCCGACCUGAGAGGGUGAUCGGCCACACUGGAACUGAGACACGGUCCAGACUCCUACGGGAGGCAGCAGUAGGGAAUCUUCCGCAAUGGGCGAAAGCCUGACGGAGCAACGCCGCGUGAGUGAUGAAGGUCUUCGGAUCGUAAAACUCUGUUAUUAGGGAAGAACAAAUGUGUAAGUAACUAUGCACGUCUUGACGGUACCUAAUCAGAAAGCCACGGCUAACUACGUG